rnacentral:lncRNA from 10 species
CCCCCCCACAACAUUAGGGUUUUGGAAUGAGCACUGUUCUUGGCAUCAGAACACCAUAUCCUGCUGAGAUGCUAACUUUAGGUAAGUUUAUUUGCCUGAGCCUUGGUGUUCUCAUCAGUAAAAUGGGCAGAAAUGCUAGGAUUACACGAAAAGAGAUCCUGAGUAAAAGUGCCGGGGUGUAGAUGCCCAGCAGAUGUCUGGUAGGUUAGAAGAAGGCCAUGUCUUGGGAGGGUGUUUCUGGAGGGAAGCAACGCAUGGCACUUCUACCACUAACUUGAGCACCUCCAAGGAGUAGGUGAGACAGGCUUGCAAGAAUUAUUGGACCCUUUAGGCACAGAGGUGUUGGCUUUUUGAGGAGGACUUUCUGCUUCCCUGACUCUGCAGUAGCUGCUCCUCUGCACCCAUGGGUUUUCUUCUCUUUCUGGGUCCUGUUUUCACACUUUGGUCUCAUUCACCUGAAAGUAAGCUCCCCAAGAAAAUGCUGUUGAGAAUAGGG